CACAGAGAUGAACGGCGCCAGCGGGCCGGGGGUGCUGUCAUCAGGUCUUCUGGGCGUUUGCCUGCUCUCCGCGAUCUCACUGUACCGAUAGUAGAGGGCGACCAGCACCGCUCUGCGCCUGAGAGACUGGCGACUGCCCAUAUGUGAGAGUGCUCUCGACACCCGGCUGACAAUGCAAUCGAAGCCACCUGACGCCAGCUGCCGGCUGCGAAUCCAGUGUUCGGGACGAGGCCAAACGAAUGGCUAUAUUUUGUGAAGUGCAAUGAUAAGCGCGUCGCCAAAGUGUCCCCGCCUUCCCGUCUAGUCCCAGGCGCGCUGGCGGCGUCGCCCCGCCCGCUCGUGCCGUUGUUUGUGCUCUUGAGUUGUUGGAUCGCAAGAAUUCAGUAGGAGGCAGUAGGAUAAUGAUGGUAAACAUACCAAUGCGUAUGUGAGUUGAUACAUCCUGUUUUGUUGGAUACAGUAGCCAACUAAUUGAAAAAGCAGAAUGCAGUAGUUUGUAUUAGGCAAGCCGAUUCAUGCUGUCUUAAAGUAAUCGACAUCGGUUCUCCUUUUUUUUUGCCACAUUAAAGCUAGUAUUUUGUCUUUGUCAUUCACUUAUCCGUUAACGAAAUCGAGCCCAAAUUUCAUCGUAGAUUUGUUUUCCUGUGUGUGGCGAUAUACAGUGGGCGUGCGUGAAUGGAGUGUGAGUUUAGACGAAUGUGGCGCAUCAGCCUCGUUGAGCCCGUGAAACCUGAACGGUUUUCUGUGAUCAUCAUGAUAUUCGUGUACGCUAUUGGCGAGAGGCAUUGUUCGUGAUCCGGCUAGUCUUCGGUGUUCGAAUAUGUUGGGAUGAUCGUAGAAGUAUACGAAUGAGAGUCAUGUUGUUUCGCUCGCUAAUGGUUUUAUUUCUCGCUGCGCUGCUGAACGUGUGUGUUUUGAAUAAAAAUGUAUCAAAACCA